rnacentral:misc_RNA from 1 species
GAAAUGCGAUAAGUAAUGUGAAUUGCAGAAUUCAGUGAAUCAUCGAAUCUUUGAACGCACCUUGCGCCUUUUGGUAUUCCGAAAGGCAUGCCUGUUUGAGUGUCAUGAAACUAUCAACCCCCGGGUUUCCGGGUGGCUUGGACUUGGGCGUUGCCGUCUGGCUCGCCUUAAAAGACUUAGUGGAUUAGGCCAUUGCUUGACGUGAUAAGUUUCGUCUCGUGGUGUGUUUGCGUCCGCUCAUAACCCCCAUAUUUUGUGCUCUGACCUCAAAUCAGGUAGGACUACCCGCUGAACUUAA